CAACCCUCAGGCCUCGUGUCUGGCGUUGGGGCGCUGCGGCCCUCCCGCAGGCCCCCAAAUUUAGCGGCGGACCCGUCCGGCCCUGAGCGCAGUAGAGAGUAAACUCAAACGCUCCGGCGGCCGUGGCGCGGUUAUUCCUUCCGCCCCAUAGCGCCAAUGGCGCCACCCCUAUA
rnacentral:misc_RNA from 1 species